CCCUCGCCCCGCCGCACCAACACCACACCACACACCACCAACUCCAGUCACCCUCACCACCUCGCCAACCACCUCCACCAUCAAUUCCGGCGAGCCACCGCCCGAAACCACCUUGAAACACCCUCGAAUUUUCCCCUGUUUCGCCCACUUCGCGCUUCAUUUUCUCGCCCCCUCGCCGCUCCGCCACCACCAAACCACAGCCAUCACCGUCGCCCUCGUCGUCGAGCCACCCCAGCCAACCUCCCUUCCUCCCUCCUCUUUCUCCUCCUCCUCGUGCAUCCCUUCUCCCCUCCCCUGUUCCGCACCCUGCUCCCAGAAAACCAAAACCAAAUUUUGGUUUUCUUUGGUUUUACUCUCCUUUAAAAACCCACAAUUAAAUUGGGCCAUCUUAUUUGGGCUUUUGGAAACUGGACUCGGAGCUCAGGACGAACGAACCAACGAAAACCCUUAGCAAAUCGCGGAAGUGAGGUACUGAUGGGGACGAUGGACACGAGUAGUGGCGAGGAAUUUCACGUUAAUAAUAUUCACCUAGUUUAUGCUUAAAGUUUUAAUAGUUUUAAUUAAAGACUUUUAGUAAGUUAUGUACUUUUAUUUUGAUAAUAUAAAGGAUUAUUAUAUAUAUUUUGGAGUAUUUAAUGGCUUAUGAUUGAUGUUUGCCUUGUAAUUUCCAAAAAGGAAGUUACGGCAGGUAAUGCCCUGACCAAUUAGGUUAAUUCCGCUGCUAAUUAUGCUUUAAUAAUUGAAUUAGAG